GCGGAAGUGGCGAAGCUGGUUGAAACGCGCUAGACUCAAAAUCUAGUACAGUUAAUGACACAUCGUGGGUUCGAUUCCCACCUUCCGUACCA
rnacentral:tRNA from 1 species